ACAAAGAUUCUUUUCAGUUGAAAAGUGCAAUACAUACAUAUAUAUGGGGAGGUAGUAGCUCCAACACGGUUUCUCAGUGAAAACUGCAGGAACUUCAAACUGGCACUACGAAACAGACUGAGAAACCAGAG